CCUACGGGUGGCAGCAGUGAGGAAUAUUGGUCAAUGGACGCAAGUCUGAACCAGCCAUGCCGCGUGCAGGAAGACGGCUCUAUGAGUUGUAAACUGCUUUUGUACGAGGGUAAACGCAGAUACGCGUAUCUGUUUGAAAGUAUCGUAUGAAUAAGGAUCGGCUAACUCCGUGCCAGCAGCCGCGGUAAUACGGAGGAUUCAAGCGUUAUCCGGAUUUAUUGGGUUUAAAGGGUGCGUAGGCGGAUGGAUAAGUUAGAUGUGAAAUCCCGAGGCUCAACUUCGGAAUUGCCUGUGAUACUGUUCGGCUAGAGAGUAGUUGCGGUAGGCGGAAUGUAUGGUGUAGCGGUGAAAUGCUUAGAGAUCAUACAGAACACCGAUUGCGAAGGCAGCUUACCAAGCUACUUCUGACGUUGAGGCACGAAAGCGUGGGGAGCAAACAGGAUUAGAUACCCUAGUAGUC
rnacentral:rRNA from 1 species